rnacentral:rRNA from 1 species
GACGAACGCUGGCGGCGUGCUUAACACAUGCAAGUCGAACGGAAAGGCCCUGCUUUUGUGGGGUGCUCGAGUGGCGAACGGGUGAGUAACACGUGAGUAACCUGCCCUUGACUUUGGGAUAACUUCAGGAAACUGGGGCUAAUACCGGAUAGGAGCUCCUGCUGCAUGGUGGGGGUUGGAAAGUUUCGGCGGUUGGGGAUGGACUCGCGGCUUAUCAGCUUGUUGGUGGGGUAGUGGCUUACCAAGGCUUUGACGGGUAGCCGGCCUGAGAGGGUGACCGGCCACAUUGGGACUGAGAUACGGCCCAGACUCCUACGGGAGGCAGCAGUGGGGAAUCUUGCACAAUGGGCGGAAGCCUGAUGCAGCAACGCCGCGUGCGGGAUGACGGCCUUCGGGUUGUAAACCGCUUUCGCCUGUGACGAAGCGUGAGUGACGGUAAUGGGUAAAGAAGCACCGGCUAACUACGUGC